ensembl:lncRNA
GCCCAUUUUCCACCCAUUUUUCCCCCAUUUCCCCCAAUUUCACCCCAAUAUUCCCCUCUGCUGUCCAUUCUGACCCCCAUUUCCCCUCAAUUCUGCCCCAUUUCCACCCCAAUAUCUCCCCCCCCGCCCUCUCCCCUUCGCUCCCUUCUCCCACAGUAUCCCCCUAUGGGAGCCAUCCCCAUUUAGGGUCCAAAAGGUGGGAUUUUGGGGCCCAAAAAGUGGCAUUUUGGGUCAUUUUGGGUCGAAAAAGGGUCAUUUUGGGUCCUGGCAGAGUACGUGGAGCACCUGAAGGCGGAGGGCUGCGGCUGCAGCGCCCCCUACAGGCGCGGAGGUCCCCAUUCUGCCCCCAUUUGCCCCCAUUUCUGCCCCAUUUUCCCCCCCAUUUCUGCCCAUUUUUCACCCAUUUUUCCCCCAUUUCCCCCAAUUUCACCCCAAUAUUCCCCUCUGCUGUCCAUUCUGACCCCCAUUUCCCCCCAGUUCUGCCCCAUUUCCACCCCAAUAUCCCCCCCCCCCCCCCCCCUCCCCUUCGCUCCCUCCUCCCACUGUAUCCCCCUAUGGGACCCAUCCCCAUUUAGGGUCCAAAAGGUGGGAUUUUGGGGCCCAAAAAGUGGCAUUUUGGGUCAUUUUGGGUCGAAAAAGUGGCAUUUUGGGUCCUGGCAGAGCACAUACAGCACCUGAAGGCGGAGGGCUGCGGCUGCAGCGCCCCCUACAGGCGCGGAGGUCCCCAUUCUGCCCCCAUUUGCCCCCAUUUCUGCCCCAUUUUCCCCCCAUUUCUGCCCAUUUUUCACCCAUUUUUCCCCCAUUUCCCCCAAUUUCACCCCAAUAUUCCCCUCUGCUGUCCAUUCUGACCCCCAUUUCCCCUCAAUUCUGCCCCAUUUCCACCCCAAUACCCCCCCCCCCCCCCUCCCUUCUUCGCUCCCUCCUCCCACUGUAUCCCCCUAUGGGACCCAUCCCCAUUUAGGGUCCAAAAGGUGGGAUUUUGGGGCCCAAAAAGUGGCAUUUUGGGUCAUUUUGGGUCGAAAAAGUGGCAUUUUGGGUCCUGGCAGAGCACAUACAGCACCUGAAGGCGGAGGGCUGCGGCUGCAGCGCCCCCUACAGGCGCGGAGGUCCCCAUUCUGCCCCAUUCUGCCCCAAUUUGCCCCCAAUUUCUGCCCAUUUUCCCCCCAUUUCUGCCCAUUUUUCACCCAUUUUUCCCCCAUUUCCCCCAAUUUCACCCCAAUAUUCCCCUUUGCUGUCCAUUCUGACCCCCAUUUCCCCCCAGUUCUGCCCCAUUUCCAUCCCAAUAUCUCCCCCCCCCCCCCCCUCUCCCCAUCGCUCCCUCCUCCCACUGUAUCCCCCUAUGGGAGCCAUCCCCAUUUAGGGUCCAAAAGGUGGGAUUUUGGGGUCCAAAAAGUGGCAUUUUGGGUCAUUUUGGGUCGAAAAAGUGGCAUUUUGGGUCCUGGCAGAGCACAUACAGCACCUGAAGGCGGAGGGCUGCGGCUGCAGCGCCCCCUACAGGCGCGGAGGUCCCCAUUCUGCCCCAUUCUGCCCCCAUUUGCCCCCAUUUCUGCCCCAUUUCCCCCCCAUUUCUGCCCAUUUUUCACCCAUUUUUCCCCCAUUUCCCCCAAUUUCACCCCAAUAUUCCCCUCUGCUGUCCAUUCUGACCCCCAUUUCCCCCCACUUUUGCCCCAUUUCCCCCCAAUUUUGCCCCAUUUCCCUCCACUUCUACCCCACUCGCUCCCCCACUGUAUCUCCCUAUAGGACCCAUCCCCAUUUUGGGUCCAAAAGGUGGGAUUUUGGGGUCCAAAA